rnacentral:rRNA from 1 species
GUCCGCACUGUAAACGAUGAUUACUCGUUGCUGGGGAGCAAUUUCCAGUGACCAAGCGAAAGCGAUAAGUAAUCCACCUGGGGAGUACGCCGGCAACGGUGAAACUCAAAGGAAUUGACGGGGGCCCGCACAAGCGGAGGAGCAUGUGGUUUAAUUCGAUGAUACGCGAGGAACCUUACCAGGGCUUGAAAGUUAGGGAAUGAUCCUGAAAGGGAUCAGUCAGCAAUGACCCGAAACUAGGUGCUGCAUGGCUGUCGU